rnacentral:rRNA from 1 species
CAACCCUGAUCCAGCCAUGCCGCGUGAUCGAUGAAGGCCUUAGGGUUGUAAAGAUCUUUCAGCUGGGAAGAUAAUGACGGUACCAGCAGAAGAAGCCCCGGCUAACUCCGUGCCAGCAGCCGCGGUAAUACGGAGGGGGCUAGCGUUGUUCGGAAUUACUGGGCGUAAAGCGCACGUAGGCGGACCAGUCAGUUGGGGGUGAAAUCCCGGGGCUCAACCCCGGAACUGCCUCCAAAACUGCUGGUCUGGAGGUCGAGAGAGGCGAGUGGAAUUCCGAGUGUAGAGGUGAAAUUCGUAGAUAUUCGGAGGAACACCAGUGGCGAAGGCGGCUCGCUGGCUCGAUACUGACGCUGAGGUGCGAAAGCGUGGGGAGCGAACAGGAUUAGAUACCCUGGUAGUCCACGCCGUAAACUAUGAGAGCUAGACGUCGGGCGGCUUGCCGUUCGGUGUCGCAGCUAACGCAUUAAGCUCUCCGCCUGGGGAGUACGGCCGCAAAGGUUA